rnacentral:tRNA from 1 species
GUGGAUGUUGCUCAGUGGUAGAGCACAUGCUUAGCAUGCACGAGGUCCUGGGUUCAGUCCCCAGUACCUCCA